GAUGAACGCUGGCGGCGUGCCUAAUACAUGCAAGUCGAGCGAACGGACGAGAAGCUUGCUUCUCUGAUGUUAGCGGCGGACGGGUGAGUAACACGUGGAUAACCUACCUAUAAGACUGGGAUAACUUCGGGAAACCGGAGCUAAUACCGGAUAAUAUUAUGAACCGCAUGGUUCAAAAGUGAAAGACGGUCUUGCUGUCACUUAUAGAUGGAUCCGCGCUGCAUUAGCUAGUUGGUAAGGUAACGGCUUACCAAGGCAACGAUGCAUAGCCGACCUGAGAGGGUGAUCGGCCACACUGGAACUGAGACACGGUCCAGACUCCUACGGGAGGCAGCAGUAGGGAAUCUUCCGCAAUGGGCGAAAGCCUGACGGAGCAACGCCGCGUGAGUGAUGAAGGUCUUCGGAUCGUAAAACUCUGUUAUUAGGGAAGAACAUAUGUGUAAGUAACUGUGCACAUCCUGACGGUACCUAAUCAGAAAGCCACGGCUAACUACGUG
rnacentral:rRNA from 1 species